GUGGCGGUGGAGACGGCAGGUUUUCAAAACUGGGUUCGGUGGGUGGAGUAUCUACUGUGGUGAAGGUAGAGGGUCAAAAGGAGAUGGGCACAGAAAAAGUACGAGAAAGCGGAGAGAAAGAAGGAGGAGGGGAAAUAUUGUAACUUUCGUUCAAAAAAUACAACAUUUAUUUCAAAGAGUAUAAUUUUAUCUCAAAGAGUGUAACUUUUCAUCUAAAAUAGUACAACAUUUUUUUAAAAUAUUGCAACUUUAUUUUAACAUACAAUUUUAUCAUCUUCUUUUUUUUCUUUGAUUUUACGCAUUUUUUGUAGAAAAAAAUAAUUUUCUUUACUUUUUUUAUUCUUUGUUUUUCUUAUUUUUCUCUACUCUCUACAUUUUUUUUAUUAUCGCGAUUUCUCCUCCGCCCUUUAUCGCAACCACCGUUCUCGUCGGAAACGCUCCUUGGAGAAGUGCGGGCGUGUCUUUGUCCUUACCGUCACAGGCAACAGCAAGCACUGUCUCUCUGUCAUGACCUCAUUACCUCCGCCCACUCCCAUCUCACCUACGCUCGCUCUGAGUCCUUCUCCUUCGGCGCCUCGGUUAAGGAAGAGAAAGAGAAAACGACGCUACUCUCGUUACCAUCAUAGAGGACUGCGGAGGCGAUAGAGGAGGGUCAGAGAGAAAAAAGAAGAAUGAGAGAAUAAAAGAAAAGAGAGAAAAAAAAUGAAAUAAUGAUAUGUUGGUUAACUUUCUGAAAAUUUGAUCCAAAUAUAUAAAAUUCAAAAAGAUGGCCUAUUUUUACAAAAUCUCAAAAUUAGUAAAUUUUUAUGCAAAUUGGCCAAAUUUUUUUUUUUUU
rnacentral:lncRNA from 1 species